UCUGGUAUCCGGGUCAGCUCUCUCAAAACUCGAGCUGAUUUAAUCUGAUCUGAGUCGACUCCUUCUAGAGCUGAGUCGACUCCUCUACUGGCAGAAGCCCUUUGCUUGGUUCUUUGCUCCACCUUGUGUCCUAAGUAUCUAGAGCCCCAACCAAGCUCCUCGAAGUCCUCAUCGCUGAACCUCGAGCCUAUGAAAACUAUGCACUACCUCCAUCCUAAGACCACUCCUGUCCUAGUCUAUGACUGUGCCCGUCAUAGUGAAUCUAGAGCC
rnacentral:lncRNA from 1 species